GGGCCCGCACAAGCGGUGGAGUAUGUGGUUUAAUUCGAUGCAACGCGAAGAACCUUACCAGGGUUUGACAUCCUGCGAAUCUCUUGGAAACGAGAGAGUGCCUUCGGGAACGCAGUGACAGGUGGUGCAUGGCUGUCGUCAGCUCGUGUCGUGAGAUGUUGGGUUAAGUCCCGUAACGAGCGCAACCCCUAUUUUUUAGUUACCAUCAAGUAAAGUUGGGUACUCUAGAGAGACUGCCGGUGAUAAACCGGAGGAAGGUGGGACGACGUCAAGUCAUCAUGGCCCUUACGGGUAGGGCUACACACGUGCUACAAUGGCCAGUACAAAGGGAAGCGAAGUUGUGAAACGGAG
rnacentral:rRNA from 1 species